GGUCGGGUAGCUGAGUGGUUACAGCAUCCCAGAUCCAUCAGGAGGUCCCCAGUUCAACUCUGGCUAGGCCUGACUG
rnacentral:tRNA from 1 species